UACGUAGGGGGCAAGCGUUGUCCGGAAUCAUUGGGCGUAAAGAGCGUGUAGGCGGCCAGAAAAGUCCGCUGUGAAAACUCGAGGCUCAACUUCGAGCUGUCGGUGGAAACUUUCUGGCUAGAGUCCGGAAGAGGAGAAUGGAAUUCCUGGUGUAGCGGUGAAAUGCGCAGAUAUCAGGAAGAACACCCGUGGCGAAGGCGGUUCUCUGGGACGGUACUGACGCUGAGGAGCGAAAGCAUGGGGAGCGAACAGG
rnacentral:rRNA from 1 species